GCCAUAUGAUGAAUCCAAGGCGAAUGUGACCCCUGCAUCCUCUGGGUAGGUCCUCCUUGCUCUAUGCCUUUUGGUCUGUAAUCUUGGUGGUUGUGUAGGAGCGUCUCGCUGCCACUGUAAGGCCAGACCCACAGUAGCUAUUAUUGCUGGUCUUUCUAAGUUUAUCUGCCUACAGGAGUUUGUUGGUAGAAUUCGAGUGGACCUACAGGAUGGGCAGUCGGCUGUAUAAGGCUGGGCGGAGGGUGUUACUCACUAAGAGGUGAUGCAGAGACAUGAGCACAUAUCUUUGGUAAUCUGAUGGCU